rnacentral:misc_RNA from 1 species
GUAACAAGGUUUCCGUAGGUGAACCUGCGGAAGGAUCAUUAAAGAUUAUGAAUGAAUAGAUUACUGGGGGAAUCGUCUGAACAAGGCCUGCGCUUAAUUGCGCGGCCAGUUCUUGAUUCUCUGCUAUCAGUUUUCUAUUUCUCAUCCUAAACACAAUGGAGUUUUUUCUCUAUGAACUACUUCCCUGGAGAGCUCGUCUCUCCAGUGGACAUAAACACAAACAAUAUUUUGUAUUAUGAAAAACUAUUAUACUAUAAAAUUUAAUAUUCAAAACUUUCAACAACGGAUCUCUUGGUUCUCGCAUCGAUGAAGAACGCAGCGAAUUGCGAUAUGUAUUGUGAAUUGCAGAUUUUCGUGAAUCAUCAAAUCUUUGAACGCACAUUGCGCCCUCUGGUAUUCCAGGGGGCAUGCCUGUUUGAGCGUCAUUUCUCUCUCAAACCUUUGGGUUUGGUAGUGAGUGAUACUCGUCUCGGGUUAACUUGAAAGUGGCUAGCCGUUGCCAUCUGCGUGAGCAGGGCUGCGUGUCAAGUCUAUGGACUCGACUCUUGCACAUCUACGUCUUAGGUUUGCGCCAAUUCGUGGUAAGCUUGGGUCAUAGAGACUCAUAGGUGUUAUAAAGACUCGCUGGUGUUUGUCUCCUUGAGGCAUACGGCUUUAACCAAAACUCUCAAAGUUUGACCUCAAAUCAGGUAGGAGUACCCGCUGAACUUAAGCA